rnacentral:rRNA from 1 species
ACAUGCCUACAACAUAGCGUUAAUGCAUCAGAUCCCAUUAGAACUCCGCAGUUAAGUGCGCUUACGCUAGAGUAGUAUUGGGAUGGGUGACCGCCACAGAAAUCCUAGUGUUUUACAUGCC